GAGUUACAGCAGGACAUUCACAUGGACAACUGUUGGCAUUUGAUGUGUUGUGGUUUUUAUCUGUAUGUACCCCUAAAGCCUCACGCUCAUAGGUGGGGCUUUGGGGGAGGUGAUUGGAUCAUUGGGGUGUGAUGCUUAUCAGUGGAUUAGUCCCCUGAUGAGUUAAUAGCUAAAUGUGAUGUUAGGAGGUUAAGCCUGGUCAAAGGAGGUGUGUCACUGGGGCCGGCCUGGAAGGGUUUAUCACCCUCCUCCUCCCUUGAUCUCUCUCUCUCUGCUUCCUGCCUACCCUGGUAGGAGCUGUUUCUCGUCUUCCAUGCCUUUCUGCCAUGCUGCCCUGCCUUGGAGCCAGACGACUAUGAACUUAAGCCUCUACAAACUCUUCCUGUCUCACAGUGGAAUCUCCUGUUCCUGCACACUAUUGCUAUUGUGAUGCCAUCCAUCCUGUGGGCCUUGCCAGGGCAAGCUGAAGACAGUGCCAUGACCUUGAAACUCCAGCCUUAGGUCGCUCCUUGAAAUCUAUCCAGGGUUUCACAGAGGCACAUCCUUGACACUGAGGAGAUUCUGGAUUUGAAUGAAGUGCCUGUAGCCCUCUUUUGACUUAACAGAGAACACACAAGUCCAUACAUCUGCCUGAAAACAGACCUCAUGUGGAACAUUGCCAGACCAACAUGUUCUUAAGCAAGACUGAUUAUAAUUGCACCCUUCAUGGAGCUAGGGGUUAUCUCCACAAGCCAUAGCAACAAUCUCUGGACUUCAGAUUCAUGAUAAAACUCCCCUGUUAGAAAUAACACUGAUAAUGUCAUAGUCAAAUGAGAUAGAAGAACAUUUUCUAGU
rnacentral:lncRNA from 1 species